GCCACCUUAGCUCAGUUGGUAGAGCAGCACUUUCGUAAAGUGAAGGUCCCCGGUUCGAAUCUGGGAGGUGGCUCAA
rnacentral:tRNA from 1 species